rnacentral:rRNA from 1 species
UACGAAGGGGGCUAGCGUUGCUCGGAAUCACUGGGCGUAAAGCGCACGUAGGCGGAUUGUUAAGUCAGGGGUGAAAUCCUGGAGCUCAACUCCAGAACUGCCUUUGAUACUGGCGAUCUCGAGUCCGGGAGAGGUGAGUGGAACUGCGAGUGUAGAGGUGAAAUUCGUAGAUAUUCGCAAGAACACCAGUGGCGAAGGCGGCUCACUGGCCCGGUACUGACGCUGAGGUGCGAAAGCGGUGGGGAGCAAACAGG